UUUAUUUUGAAAUCAGAAGAGGCAGCGAACAGUAUCGACGGCGAACGGCGGCAUGGCGCUCCCGAUCUGCUCGCUCCGGCGCCCAUCGAGGUCCCGAUUUGACUAUAAGCCGGUGGAUCUGGGUUCUCCCGAUGGUGGAGUUGAAGGGGCCCUAGUGGCUAAGGACAUGACCGGCAAGCGCGAGGCCACCACAACCUGCGUCGUGGAGCUCUACCACUAAUCAUUCAUCUAGCACACAUCAUCUCGUGGAUUAUGUUUAUUGGAGAGAUCGCAAGAGGCCGAACAUCCUGCCCAAAGAGGGUUCAUUUCCUCCAUCACGACGGUCCCCAAGCAGCUCUGUGCCACCAGAACACUUUAGUAUUAUCCCAUAUUCAUUGAUUCACUUGGCGCCGGAGCUCUUUAGUAUUGUUCCAUCUUCAACGAUUUACUUGAGGAUGUAUCUAUUUACCCUCCCACGAGCAUCUACUUGAAUUCAGUUUUAUUUUACAAGAAAUUGAGUUUGCCGAAUGUAGUUAGAUCUCCAUAAUGCAGAGGCGUACUUUGUGUAUUCGAUUUUGAUUUACCCCCAAAUUCAAUAUAUUUGGGCAUAGUCAACUAACGGUGCUUCCCCUCAACUAAUGAUACGUUUUGUAUGGUUGUUCAACCGUAGACUUUUGAGAUGUUCUAAUUUUGUAUUAGAUGUACAAUCUUUUUGUAAAAUCCAGGUUGUGUUAAUGCUUUUUAAAAUUUAUAUGUGUUGGGAUAGCGAAUAUUGAUAAUAGUUGUGAUUCUGGUUGGACUAAUUUGGCAUUCCACCUCGACGAAUGAUAUUUGUAAUUGGCUCAAUCAAGUGACAUACCAUUUCUUUCAGGCUUAGAAGCUUAGCAAUUUGUUGAAAAUCUAAAACAUUUAGUUCAGUGGCGCAGUUUAUAGCUAUUACUGUGAUAGAUCAUCAAGACUGUCUAACUUGUCUUGGAUGAAUGUUUUUUCUUGUAGUCAAAGAUUCACAGUAGAUUAUUGAUAUUAAAAGCUGAUACAAAUAGGAAAAGACAGAGACAGGAGG